rnacentral:rRNA from 1 species
AAUAUUGGACAAUGGGGGGAACCCUGAUCCAGCCAUCCCGCGUGUGCGACGAAGGCCUUCGGUUUGUAAAGCACUUUUGGCAGGAAAGAAAGCGCAUAGGAUAAUACCCUGUGUGGAUGACUGUACCUGCAGAAUAAGCACCGGCCAACUACGUGCCGUCAGCCGCGGUAAUACGUAGGGUGCAAGCGUUAAUCGGAAUUACUGGGCGUAAAGCGUGCGCAGGAGGUUCGGAAAGAAAGAUGUGAAAUCCCAGGGCUUAACCUUGGAACUGCAUUUUUAACUACCGGGCUAGAGUGUGUCAGAGGGAGGUGGAAUUCCGCGUGUAGCAGUGAAAUGCGUAGAUAUGCGGAGGAACAACGAUGGCGAAGGCAGCCUCCUGGGAUAACACUGACGCUCAUGCACGAAAGCGUGGGGAGCAAACAG